GGGGGAUAUUGCACAAUGGAGGAAACUCUGAUGCAGCAACGCCGCGUGAGGGAAGAAGGUUUUCGGAUUGUAAACCUCUGUCCUUGGUGAAGAAAGAAAUGACGGUAGCCAAGGAGGAAGCUCCGGCUAACUACGUGCCAGCAGCCGCGGUAAUACGUAGGGAGCAAGCGUUGUCCGGAUUUACUGGGUGUAAAGGGUGCGUAGGCGGCUCUGCAAGUCAGGCGUGAAAACCAUGGGCUUAACCCAUGGACUGCGUUUGAAACUGUGGGGCUUGAGUGAAGUAGAGGUAGGCGGAAUUCCCGGUGUAGCGGUGAAAUGCGUAGAGAUCGGGAGGAACACCAGUGGCGAAGGCGGCUUACUGGGCUUUAACUGACGCUGAGGCACGAAAGCAUGGGUAGCAAAC
rnacentral:rRNA from 1 species